CGAUGAAGAUUGUAGCCAAUUGUGUGAAUUAUUGCGAACUUCAUACUUCUUUGAACAUCGACAUCUUGAACGCCUAUUGCGGCCGUGGCCACGCCUGUCCGAGGGCCC
rnacentral:rRNA from 1 species